CUGGGCUCGAACGGCUUCUCAACGGCGGUGGAAACACCGCUACUCCGCAAGGGGGUGGAGUCGAGGUGCUGCAUGGCUGUCGUCAGCUCGUGUCGUGAGAUGUUGGGUUAAGUCCCGCAACGAGCGCAACCCUUGUCCUGUGUUGGCAUGUGUUUAGUAAUAAACGCGCAACUCUCAGGAGACCGCCAGCGAUAAGCUGGAGGAAGGUGGGGAUGACGUCAAGUCAUCAUGGCCUUUAUGUCCAGGGCCACACACGUGCUACAAUGGGCGGUACAAAGCGUCGCCAACCCGCGAGGGGGAGCUAAUCGCCAAAAACCGUCCUCAGUUCGGAUUGCAGGCUGCAACUCGCCUGCAUGAAGCUGGAAUCGCUAGUAAUGCUAUAUCAGAACGAUAGCGUGAAUACGUUCCC
rnacentral:rRNA from 1 species